rnacentral:rRNA from 1 species
UACGGAGGGUGCGAGCGUUGUUCGGAAUUACUGGGCGUAAAGGGCGUGUAGGCGGUUCGUUAAGUCUGAUGUGAAAGCCCGGGGCUUACCCCCGGAAGUGCAUUGGAAACUGGUGAACUCGAGUCCCGAAGAGGAGGGUGGAAUUCCUGGUGUAGCGGUGAAAUGCGUAGAUAUCAGGAGGAACAUCGGAGGCGAAGGCGGCCCUCUGGGCGGUGACUGACGCUGAGACGCGAAAGCGUGGGUAGCAAACAGG